AUCAUCAUUUUGGAUCCAAGCAAAGCCCGAACAAGUACCAGGUCAAUAUGAGAAUGAACUCAGCACGGCGCACGACUUUAUUUCUUCGUCGGCGAUGGUAACGUCGCAAAUGGAGUACAACGCACGAGCGAGACUAUGAUGAAGAAAAUUGUCAAGAACUCUUAUGUUCGAGCAGAGGCGGAAGGCGUUCGGAAACAUCCCCCACCGGAGAUGGUGAAUCUCUCUUGACGGCAUACGAUAUGGAACGUGGAUUAACGACGAAAUUGGUUCGGACUCAGUGGAGGAUCGAACGAACUCGUUUUUGACUCAUGGUUCCGGCUCAGAAUCGGAAGUCGAAUUCGAAGCGUUACUCUUGCGAGUGAAACAGAAGCUAUUGGAGAAUGAAGAACGUACCAUAUUCGAUGCCAAUUCCAGUGUGCGGUUGUCGUUACGGCAAGGUGAGAGGAUUGAGCGGUGGUGUUCGGUGAGGGUGGAGAAGAAUGGAAGGUCGUUGGAAAAGUUUGUUACGGUUGAGAAGAAGGUGGUUACGGAAGAUAGGGAUUCUAGAGGUUGAAGGAUUUUACUAUGCAGGGUAUUCUGAUUUUAUGCUGCAGCUGGUCUUGGCAGCUUGGUUUUGCAUUUCUCACAUUGCCGCUGUUAUGCUGUUGUUACUGCUGUUGUUGCAGCAUGUGCGGUUACGACGAUGCUGCCGUAUGGUUGUGGCUUAUGGUGGUGGUUGAUGCAGUGGCGGUGUUGUGAAGUUUUAGUUUGGAUGUGGUGUUGCAGCCGUUGCAUUUCCGUUUUGGCGGUUUGGUGUAUGAUGCGAUCUGUUAAGCGAAUCUGCCAGUGGAAUUUUGUUAGGAAGGAGUUUCACUCGGUGUGUACGUCGUUUGCUGCAUUUCGUGGCUUGAAUUGCUGGUGUGGUGUAGCUUACCUGCAUUUUGUAUUGCUGUAGUUUAGCUUUGAAUAACAGCUUUGGUUUUCGGUAGCUAUUUCCGCCGGAAGGUUUUGGAUAGCAGCUUUUUGGCUUGCUGCGUUUUGCGUUGCAGCUUGUUCGGCUCUUUUCCAAUUGCUUUUUCCCUUCAUUUUCUUUAUUGGAUAUGUGAAAUAUUAUUUGAUAAUGGUUUGAGAAUUUAGAUUAUUAUUGGAUUUGAAUUAAUGGAUCAUGAUUAGAUAUUUGGAUUU